GAGUUUGAUCUUGGCUCAGAAUCAACGCUGGCGGCGUGCCUAACACAUGCAAGUCGAGCGAGAAAGGGGCUUCGGCCCUGAGUAAAGCGGCGCACGGGGUGAGUAACACGUGGGUAAUCUACCCUGGAGUGGGGAAUAACACCGGGAAACCGGUGCUAAUACCGCAUACGAUGGCGAGGUCUGUGGAUUUCGUCAUGAAAGGAGCAAUUCGCUCCAGGAGGAGCCCGCGGCUGAUUAGCUAGUUGGUGAGGUAAUGGCUCACCAAGGCUCCGAUCAGUAGCCGGUCUGAGAGGACGGUCGGCCACACUGGAACUGAGACACGGUCCAGACUCCUACGGGAGGCAGCAGUGGGGAAUUUUUGGCAAUGGGGGAAACCCUGACCAAGCAACGCCGCGUGGAUGAUGAAGUCUCUUGGGACGUAAAAUCCUUUCGACGGGGAAGAAAACCGCAAGGUUUGACGGUACCCGUAGAAGAAGCCCCGGCUAACUCCGUGCCAGCCGCCGCCGUAAG
rnacentral:rRNA from 1 species